CAGAGAGAGAGACAGAGUGACUGAACUGGAGAAGGACCUUGUGAUGUCACCGAGUGGGGAGACGUCAGAGGCGGCAUCCGAGUCCUCCUUGAUCCUGGGUUUUGGCACCACUGUAGAACCUGGUGUGCAUAGGCGAGGUUCGGAGGAAGACUCGUGAGGCAGGCGGAAUUUUGUUGUGUUUAUUUAUUUUAUUUUUUGGAGUUGCUGCAAGUUCAAAGAAACACAUAUAAGUAGAUUGGCAGUAAUAAGACCCAGGUGACUACCAUCACGCAUUACCUGCUGGCUCCUCUCUGUCUGCUCUGAUGCUCAACCACCCUCCCUCCAAGUUCAUGGAUCCGCUCAACAGAGAUCAUGACUAAGCCACUGACUCUUUCUCACAGCAUCGUAGAGCACAGGUCCACCUUGUGCUGCCAAAACAGCUGUGACCCAUCGAGGCAUGGACUCCACAAGACCUCUGAAGAUGUGCUGUGGUAUCUGGCACUGAGACGUUAGCAGCAGAUCCUUUAAAUCCUGACCUAAGGUUUCACAGCAGAACAUCGCCCAGAGCAUCACACUGCCUCCACUGGCUCGCCUUCUUCCCAUCCUGGUGCAUCCUAGUGCCAUCUUGUCCUCAGGUAAACGACAUACACGCACCCGACCUUCCACAUGAUGUAAAAGAAAACGUGAUUCAUCAGACCAGGCUUUAAGGUCCAGUUCUGAUGUUCACCUGCUCAUUGUAGUCACUUUCAGAUAUGGACAGAGGUCAGCAUGGGUACCCUGACUGGUCUGUGGCUACACAGCCCCAUAGGCAUCAAGC
ensembl:lncRNA